AUUGAACGCUGGCGGCAAGCCUAACACAUGCAAGUCGAACGAGUGGCGGACGGGUGAGUAAUAUCUGGGAAACUGCCUGAUGGAGGGGGAUAACUACUGGAAACGGUAGCUAAUACCGCAUACCAUCGGAUGUGCCCAGAGGGGAUUAGCUAGUAGGUGGGGUAAAGGCUCACCUAGGCGACCAUCCCUAGCUGGUCUGAGAGGAUGACCAACCACACUGGAGCUUAGACACGGGCAAGACUCCUACGGGAGGCAGAAUUGGGAAAUAGUGAACAAUGGGCGCAAGCCUGAUGCAGCCAUGACGCGUGUAUGAAGAAGGCCUUCGGGUUGUAAAGUACUUUCAGCGGGGAGGCGUUAGCCGCAGAAGAAGCACCGGCUAACUCCGUGCCAGCAGCCGCGGUAAUUC
rnacentral:rRNA from 1 species